UCAUACGCAUGUAUUAUACUCAAAAGAGUGAUAGUAGGUAUAAAAUCAACACCUCAACUUUGUGCACCCAUAUCUCUUUCAUAAAAACUCCAAUUGACUCAAAAUAUGCACCAAAACCAUAGACAAAAAUUUGAACUUACUGAUCUUACCCUCCAAAAGCUCAAAUUGCUCAAAAGUAUAAUCCUAAUGCCUAAUAUGGCCUGAGACAGCCUCCUUGAAGCCCAUUGGAUAUAAUUUUUGACCAAUAGGAAUAGAUAUUUAUAUCAUCCAUCUCCAUUCAUUCAUAUGGAUGCCCUAACUACUUUUUUUCCUACCAAAAUCC
rnacentral:lncRNA from 1 species